UACAGAGGGUGCGAGCGUUGUUCGGAAUUACUGGGCGUAAAGAGCGCGCAGGCGGUCGUUCAAGUCGAGUGUGAAAGCCCCCGGCUCAACUGGGGAGGGUCACUCGAUACUGAUCGACUCGAAGGCAGGAGAGGGAAGUGGAAUUCCCGGUGUAGUGGUGAAAUGCGUAGAUAUCGGGAGGAACACCAGUGGCGAAGGCGACUUCCUGGCCUGUUCUUGACGCUGAGGCGCGAAAGCUAGGGGAGCAAACGGG
rnacentral:rRNA from 1 species